rnacentral:rRNA from 1 species
GCAGCCGCCACGGUAAUACAGAGGAUGCAAGCGUUAUCCGGAAUGAUUGGGCGUAAAGUGUCUGUAGGUGGCUUUUCAAGUCCGCCGUCAAAUCCCAGGGCUCAACCCUGGACAGGUGGUGGAAACUACCAAGCUGGAGUAUGGUAGGGGCAGAGGGAAUUUCCGGUGGAGCGGUGAAAUGCAUUGAGAUCGGAAAGAACACCAACGGCGAAAGCACUCUGCUGGGCCGACAUUGACACUGAGAGACGAAAGGUAGGGGAGCAAAUGGGAGUAGAUACCCCAGUAGUCCCUGUCUCUUAUAC